ACUCGAGCAGAGCCUCAGAGUGUGGCCGCCAUUUUGUGGCGGGCGGGGCGGAUGGUGGCGCGGAGCCGAACAGCGCGGGGAGAUUUGUUCCGUGUUCACAGGCGGGGCCGAGGCGGGGUCUGGAUGUCUCGGGCGGCACGUCCCGCCCCUCCCUGGGUGUUUCAGAGAGAAGCAGAAAGGUUUUCUCUCCCACUGGAUAGACCCACCCAGAGCCUAGCCGUGGAAUUACCCCCUUGUAGGUAGUGGAUACCAACCCAGGUAUGGUAGCAGUUCUAUAGCUGAAUUAUGAGAACACUUAUCUUGGUGAAUGUAGCAGCUUAAAUCCUGCUUCAUGCUGCAUCUCUCUAAAACCUGCAGUAUCUGGUGUUUGUGGGUUCUGUGGGUUUGUUUUGUUUCUUUUUUUAUAAAAUAAUGCUACUUUCUACUGGUGAUCUUGGUACUUUCAUGACAUAAACAUGAACAUCAAGAAACAGGUUUCCACUGUGAGGGUGAUAAAACCCUGGCACAGGUUGCCCAGGAUGGUUUCGGAGUCAGCAUCCUUGGAAAUAUUCAGAAGCUAGGCAUGGUUCUGGGCAACUAGCUCCAGGAAGCCCUGCCUGUGACCUCUGAAGUCCUUGUAACCUCCAGCAAUUCUGUAGAACUGUCAGAGGUCAAACUCACCACCUCCUAAGGUAGUUUAGCUUUCCUUAUAGGCAGGCACAGGAGGGAGUGUCUUCAGUUUGUUUCACUUCAGAAAAAUUCCUGUGUUUUAUAUAGAACUAUACAGUUCUUUAUAAAGCUGUUCCAUAACUUGUAUCUUGGUGGUUAGGAACUUUCCUGUGACUGCGAAGACUGGGCAGGAAUCAUGUCCUGAGGCUAAGAAAAUUAAAUCUGUGUUUUCAGUGUCUUGACUGCUGUAGACAUGGAGCUGCUGCAGAACACAUGGCACUGCUUAGUGCUACUGUUCUAAGAGUUAUCACACUACUUUUUUUGUAGAGUUAAUCUGUAGGUGAAGGCUGCUUCCAGACACAGUGCUUCAAAGAUGAAUGUUGGAAUCUAUUUCUGGAUUGUGGUCAGGCAUAUAAAUACUGAGCUGUUAAAAGCUCUGUCAAGACGGAGACAUUUCUGAGUAGGUGCAGAAGGAGAAUUUCACAUGCCUGAAGUCUUAAGACCAGGCAUGCUGCUGACACAUUCAGGUGUUCCCAAAGUUAGCAUAGCAGAGGGGAGUUGCACCUUUGACUUUUGAUUGUCUAAAUUGCCUAAAUUGUUAUUAAAGUUUCAAUUUUGA